rnacentral:rRNA from 16 species
CUGACAUGCGUGCGAGUCGACGGGUUUUGAAACUUGGGAUGCGCAAGGAAGCUGACGAGCGGGAGGCCCUCACGGGCCGCACCGCUGGCCGACCCUGAUCUUCUGUGAAUGGUUCGAGUUGGAGCACGCCUGUCGGGACCCGAAAGAUGGUGAACUAUGGCUGAGCGGGGCGAAGCCAGAGGAAACUCUGGUGGAGGCUCGAAGCGAUACUGACGUGCAAAUCGUUCGUCUGACUUGGGUAUAGGGGCGAAAGACUAAUCGAACCAUCUAGUAGCUGG